AUUGAACGCUGGCGGCAGGCUUAACACAUGCAAGUCGAGCGAGCGGCGGACGGGUGAGUAAUGUCUGGGAAACUGCCUGGUGGGGGGGGAUAACUACUGGACACGGUAGCUAAUACCGCAUACCAUCAGAUGUGCCCAGAUGGGAUUCGCUAGUAGGUGGGGUAAGGGCUCACCUGGGCGAAGAUCCCUAGCUGGUCUGAGAGGAUGACCAGCCACACUUGACCCUAGACACGGUCCAGACUCCUACGGUAGGUAGCAGUGGGGAAUAUUGCACAAUGGGCGCCAGCCUGAUGCAGCCAUGCCGCGGGUAUGAAGAAGGCCUUCGGGUUGUAAAGCACUUUCAGCGAGUAGGCGUUACUCGCAGAAGAAGCACCGGCUAACGCCGGGCCAGCAGCCGCGGUAAUUC
rnacentral:rRNA from 1 species